rnacentral:rRNA from 1 species
ACUCCUACGGGAGGCAGCAGUGGGGAAUAUUGCACAAUGGGCGCAAGCCUGAUGCAGCAACGCCGCGUGAGCGAUGAAGGCCUUCGGGUCGUAAAGCUCUGUCCUCAAGGAAGAAUAAAUGACGGUACUUGAGGAGGAAGCCCCGGCUAACUACGUGCCAGCAGCCGCGGUAAUACGUAGGGGCAAGCGUUAUCCGGAAUCACUGGGCGUAAAGGGUGCGUAGGCGGUUUUUCAAGUCAGAAGUGAAAGGCUAUGGCUCAACCAUAGUAAGCUUUUGAAACUGUUAAACUUGAGUGCAGGAGAGGAAAAGUGGAAUUCCUAGUGUAGAGGUGAAAUUCGUAGAUAUUAGGAGGAACACCAGUGGCGAAGGCGACUUUCUGGACUGUAACUGACGCUGAGGCACGAAAGCGUGGGGAGCGAACAGGAUUAGAUACCCUGGUAGCACAGAG